rnacentral:sRNA from 1 species
AUCCCCUCGACCGCUCGCGUCGCAUUUGGCCGCCUCCCUACCGCUCCAAGCCCAGCCCUCAGCCAUGGCAUGCCCCCUGGAUCAGGCCAUUGGCCUCCUUGUGGCCAUCUUCCACAAGUACUCCGGCAGGGAGGGUGACAAGCACACCCUGAGCAAGAAGGAGCUGAAGGAGCUGAUCCAGAAGGAGCUCACCAUUGGCUCGGUGAGUGGCCUCCUCCCCAGGACCCCUUUUCCCACCCUUGUCCUUUGGAAGCAGGAUUAGGGGAGAGAGAGGUGCCAGGUGCAUCUGACUCACAUUUACCCACAUUCUG